rnacentral:rRNA from 1 species
UAGUCCACGCUGUAAACGAUGUCAACUAGCCGUUGGAUUCCUUGAGGAUUUAGUGGCGCAGCUAACGCAAUAAGUUGACCGCCUGGGGAGUACGGCCGCAAGGUUAAAACUCAAAUGAAUUGACGGGGGCCCGCACAAGCGGUGGAGCAUGUGGUUUAAUUCGACGCAACGCGAAGAACCUUACCAGGUCUUGACAUCCUGCGAACUUUCUAGAGAUAGAUUGGUGCCUUCGGGAGCGCAGUGACAGGUGCUGCAUGGCUGUCGUCAGCUCGUGUCGUGAGAUGUUGGGUUAAGUCCCGUAACGAGCGCAACCCCUAUUCUUAGUUGCCAGCACGUAAUGGUGGGGACUCUAGGAAGACAGCCUCCGUAAGGAGUGAGGAAGGCGGGGACGACGUCAAAUCAUCAUGGCCUUUAUGCCCAGGGCUACACACGUGCUACAAUGGUAGGUACAGAGGGAAGCGAAGCAGCGAUGUGGAGCCAAUCCCAGAAAGCCUAUCCC